AGAAAGGAAUUCCACGUGUAGCGGUGAAAUGCGUAGAGAUGUGGAGGAACACCAGUGGCGAAGGCGACUCUCUGGUCUGUAACUGACGCUGAGGAGCGAAAGCGUGGGGAGCGAACAGGAUUAGAUACCCUGGUAGUCCACGCCGUAAACGAUGAGUGCUAAGUGUUAGGGGGUUUCCGCCCCUUAGUGCUGCAGCUAACGCAUUAAGCACUCCGCCUGGGGAGUACGGUCGCAAGACUGAAACUCAAAGGAAUUGACGGGGGCCCGCACAAGCGGUGGAGCAUGUGGUUUAAUUCGAAGCAACGCGAAGAACCUUACCAGGUCUUGACAUCCUCUGACAAUCCUAGAGAUAGGACGUCCCCUUCGGGGGCAGAGUGACAGGUGGUGCAUGGUUGUCGUCAGCUCGUGUCGUGAGAUGUUGGGUUAAGUCCCGCAACGAGCGCAACCCUUGAUCUUAGUUGCCAGCAUUCAGUUGGGCACUCUAAGGUGACUGCCGGUGACAAACCGGAGGAAGGUGGGGAUGACGUCAAAUCAUCAUGCCCCUUAUGACCUGGGCUACACACGUGCUACAAUGGACAGAACAAAGGGCAGCGAAACCGCGAGGUUAAGCCAAUCCCACAAAUCUGUUCUCAGUUCGGAUCGCAGUCUGCAACUCGACUGCGUGAAGCUGGAAUCGCUAGUAAUCGCGGAUCAGCAUGCCCGGUGGAAUACCUUUCCCGGGGCCUUGUACACACCGGCCCGUCACA
rnacentral:rRNA from 1 species